rnacentral:tRNA from 1 species
GCGGGUGUAGUUCAGUAGUAGAGCGUCUGCUUCCCAAGCAGAAGGUCGUGGGUGCGAAUCCCAUCACCCGCU